AAAGGUAAUCCAUCAGUUUUCCCUUGUCAUAUGAACAUUGAUUAUUUUUCGUGUAUUAAAUUGGAAUUGCAUGUGGUGAAUGAUUUAUAGUUGAUUGAUUUUGCAAUUCAUAUUAUCAAUUUAUAAUUAUUACUGUAGGUUGGAGCAAAAGUAUAUUUGAGAAGUAUGUUUGAAUCAUCAAAAAUUGUAGCAAUUGGUAUUCUUGCAAGCUUAGAUCCAUCAAAAUGCGUUGGGCAAGUACGACUAGGGCAAAAUUGGUGCGAAAUCAUUAUUAAUGUUGGAAUAGCUAUGGAUGAAGACUUACUUCGACCGAUAUCAGAUUCUAGAACUACUAUUGGUGAUGCUAUUGGUGAGGCUAUUGCAUGGCCACAUAACUUGGUUACAGUAGAUGGAUAAUUUUCAGAACAUGGACUUCGAGAUUUCAUGGCGACGAGCUUUCAAGUUCUGAUAUAAGAUAAUUUCCUAGGUGACUUUGUUUUUUGAUGAGCUUUAGGUAUUGCUCAUGUUCUGGUACAUUUUGCAAAAUUGUUAGACUUUAUUGAUAUUAUAUGUUUUUCUAUUAAGUAGUGCAGUAACUAGAAUUUUUUUUUAGAAGAACUUUUUGUUUGAAAUGAAAAUAUUUGUUACUUUACUAUU